rnacentral:lncRNA from 1 species
GCGGCCGGCGCGCGCGCGUGCGUUGGGUGCUCCCGCGAAGCAGGCAGGAGUCGCCGCCCCGGCUGUGCGGGUUCCAGGGCGGCGGCCCCUACACAGCAGCGCCGUGGGCGCAACAAGCCGAGGCAGCCGCACCUGCGGGGAUGGCGCGGCCCCGGCUCUGCACCGCUGUCGGGCGCGCGGGUAGCUCCGGGUACGCCCUGUGACGGUGGCGGUGCCUUCGGCCGGGCAGCGCCCAAGUCGCUUGGCCAGAGCCCCGCGGCCGACGGCGGCCCGGGCCAUGAGGAGCGGCCGGGCCCAGGCCUCGCUGACCCCGGCUCCGCGCGGCGACCCGUCCCGUUUCCGCUCCGGCCUCUCGGCAUGAGUGUCCGUCCGGGCCCGGGG